rnacentral:sRNA from 1 species
GCCGGGUGUGGUGGCACAUGCCUGUAAUCCCAGCAGCUUAGGAGGCUGAGGCAGGAGGAUCUCAAAUUCAAAGCCAGCCUCAGCAACUUAGUGAGACCAUAAGUAACCUAGCAAGACCCUGUCUCUA